CCCGGCCGCUGCAGAGCCUGCACCUCUACGCUCGGGCAAGCAGCCGCGGGUCCUCGCUGUGCCAAGGGAGCCCAGGAGAGUGCAGACUCAGUGAGAAGCGGCCACUGCCCUGCAGGAUGAAAGGAUGAAUGGCUCCGGGCCCAUUGCACAAUCUCCGGUAUAAUUAGCCAAGGGCGGAGGCGCAGGGCUCAUCCCCGGGGUGGCACACUCUCAGAUCGGUUUCCCUUUCGGCUGCAUAGCCAGGAUUUUAUUAAAUAGGGACGAAAGGCCCCUGUCCGGCCUUCCUCCGUGAGGGUUCAGGUAUUAUGAAUGAGAAGGCAACUCCGACAAGCCUCUGAGGUCGCCACUUCAGGAAAGCCGGGGAAGCCAUUAGGAUGCAGUCCGGUAUUCUCAACAGAAGGCAAGAAGAUUGCAAACCGAAUCUUAUGGGGCGGGAAGAUUCUCCUCCAGCACUUGAAUUUCUAAAUCAGGCUGGGUUCGAGUUACUCUAUGAAGCCACCCACGGGGACACUGAGGCAAAGGAAACCCGUUCCUGCCUUCUAGGGUCGUGUGUGCCAGGCAUCUAAAGAGGGGGUUAGGAUCGUGGCUGUGGCUGCCAUUGGCACAUGUGAGGUAA
rnacentral:lncRNA from 1 species